rnacentral:tRNA from 1 species
AAAUGUGCCUGAACGU